rnacentral:rRNA from 1 species
GUUGAUCCUGCCGGACCUGACUGGCUAUCUGAUUGUACUAAGCCAUGCGAGUCGUUGUACAAUACAAGGCGGACUGCUCAGUAACACGUAGUUAACUUAACCUAUGGAUGGGAAUAACCUCGGGAAACUGAGAAUAAUACCCAAUGGGCCACAGUGCCUGGAAUGGCCUGUGGUUGAAAUGAUUUAUCGCCGUAGGAUAGGACUGCGGCCUAUCAGCUUGUUGGUGAGGUAAUGGCCCACCAAGGCUAUAACAGGUACGGGCUCUGAGAGGAGGGGCCCGGAGAUGGGUACUGAGACACGGACCCAGGCCCUAUGGGGCGCAGCAGGCGAGAAACCUUUGCAAUGUGCGAAAGCACGACAAGGUUAAUCCGAGUGUCUCCUGCUAAAGGAGUCUUUUGUCAGUUGUAGAAUCACUGGUGAAUAAGGGGUGGGCAAGUUCUGGUGUCAGCCGCCGCGGUAAAAACCAGCACCUCGAGUGGUCAGGAGGUUUAUUGGGCCUAAAGCAUCCGUAGCCGGUUGCAUAAGUCUUCGGUUAAAUCUAUGCGCUUAACGUAUAGGCCGACGAAAAUACUGUGCAGCUAGGGAGUGC